GCCCUUACGAGUAGGGCUACACACGUGCUACAAUGGCGCAUACAGAGGGCAGCCAACUUGCGAAAGUGAGCGAAUCCCAAAAAGUGCGUCGUAGUCCGGAUUGGAGUCUGCAACUCGACUCCAUGAAGUCGGAAUCGCUAGUAAUCGUGGAUCAGAAUGCCACGGUGAAUACGUUCCCGGGCCUUGUACACACCGCCCGUCACACCAUGGGAGUGGGCUGCAAAAGAAGUGGGUAGUUUAACCUUCGGGAGGACGCUCACCACUUUGUGGUUCAUGACUGGGGUGAAGUCGUAACAAGGUAGCCCUAGGGGAACCUGGGGCUGGAUCACCUCCUUAUACGAUGAU
rnacentral:rRNA from 1 species